rnacentral:sRNA from 1 species
AAGGGGUGUAUUUGGAGUGGAGAGAGUUUUAUCUCAUCGUAAAUUGCCGGGUGAGAUUCAACUCCUCCAACUGCACACUACGCCAACUUGCAGCACAUGGACUUUUCUGUUGUAUUGUUAAACUGCCAUGAAUCUUUUUGCAGAAUAGUUUUUGGGUUUUUUUUGGUUGUGCGACUGGCAGCUAUAAAAUAUGACUGAGCAAGGAGCAACUUUCGGUUUUAAAGGGAGAAAAAAAAUAAAACCUCUUUUAACUAACGUGUUAAUUUAAAAGCAGCCAUCAACAAAAUGGUUGUUAAUAGUUGCACCAAACUCUGGAGUUUUAAGAGGUUAGUAGAUAUACGCAGGUGUACAAAGGUGCAUCUGAAGAUUUGAAGCCCACUUGAAGCAGCAGAUAGGUACGUAACUAAUGAUGUGGAAUCCUCCAUCUAGCUCAGAUAGGGAGCAACCUUUACCCGCCAGGGAGAUAGGUGCCCAUAGAUGACGCGAUUUGAUAACUGAUAAACCUGUGGCCUGUACAGCGAGCUUGAACUUGUCCGAGGCGCGUUGCCUGGGAAAGUUGGUCGUGUGAUUACGGGGUGUUUGUGUGUGCAGAUCCAACAUGUACCAUCUCCCUGUCCCUCUACUUCAAUGGGACACACCAGGCUGAAAGGCCCGCCGUUAUCUCCAGACCGAUAAUGUUCUACAAACACUUCAUUGAUGACAAUAUUAGGGUAUUAGUAUACAUAUGAAUAUACAUGAGUUGUAUUUAUAUUUGUACAUUGGCAGCUUAUGUAAAGAUCGAACACCAGCUUAGGAAAAAAUACUAAGUUCAACAAACAUUUACAUUGAAAAAGAAUUUGAUGUAUAUUAUUUAAUGUUUGGAAAUUAACAGCUAAUUCUCUUGCUAUUCUACUUCAGCUAUGAUUUUUAUGCAAUACAUUUGAAUUAAUAAAUAUUUAUUAAAU